rnacentral:snoRNA from 1 species
CCAGCCCCAGACAGUCCCUUUCCACAAUGGUGGAGAACAAACUGGGCCUUGUGUCUGCACCUGCAUGUCCCUACAACUUUUCACAGUGCUUUGGGCAAUGACUGAGAAGAUAAAUCUGCAGGAAACAAUG